ACGCUGGCGGCAUGCCUUACACAUGCAAGUCGAACGGCAGCACGGAGCUUGCUCUGGUGGCGAGUGGCGAACGGGUGAGUAACAUAUCGGAACGUACCCUAGAGUGGGGGAUAACGUAGCGAAAGUUACGCUAAUACCGCAUACGAUCUACGGAUGAAAGUGGGGGAUCGCAAGACCUCAUGCUCGUGGAGCGGCCGAUAUCUGAUUAGCUAGUUGGUAGGGUAAAAGCCUACCAAGGCAUCGAUCGGUAGCUGGUCUGAGAGGACGACCAGCCACACUGGAACUGAGACACGGUCCAGACUCCUACGGGAGGCAGCAGUGGGGAAUUUUGGACAAUGGGCGAAAGCCUGAUCCAGCAAUGCCGCGUGAGUGAAGAAGGCCUUCGGGUUGUAAGCUCUUUUGUCAGGGAAGAAACGGUGAGAGCUAAUAUCUCUUGCUAAUGACGGUACCUGAAGAAUAAGCACCGGCUAACUACGUGCCAGCAGCCGCGGUAAUACGUAGGGGUGCAAGCGUUAAUCGGAAUUACUGGGCGUAAAGCGUGCGCAGGCGGUUUUGUAAGUCUGAUGU
rnacentral:rRNA from 1 species